AACCGUCUUGCUGCGCUGGUCCAUCUCAGUUAAACGACGAACUGCGAUGAGGAAACAAGGUAUGCUGCUUGACCACGCUGUCAACAAGUACUUGUUUUUAAAAGCAGACAGUUUAAGUGUCUACCCACCUUUGUAUCUAUAGUCAUCUAAUUAAUUGUUUUCUGCUACACAACAAUUAUUUCAUUAAUCCGCUAAUGGUUUCUCCUCUUUAGCCAUCGUCGAUUUACCUUUCAGCUUUUGCCUGGUCAGGUCAUUCACUUCGAGGAAUGAUUGGUUUAUGAAACUUCGGAACUUCGCUUCGUAAAUUAGCAUCGAUAAAGCAGCUUGGUAAUUUAUGAAACACCAAUGAAGGUGAUUUUGGAGAAAAGAAAAAUAAGUUUCUGACCCACUCUAAAUGAACGUACGAAGGAGUUCACUAGAUCAAUUCUUCUUCUGUCUGAUUUUGGAUAAAAAGGCUUUCUCUGAAAGCAGGUCUCCAUCUGAACGCAUUUGAUCGUCUGCUCAAAAGGAGAGUGAACACCUACACUCGACGUUUCCAUCAACAAGCCAACCAACCCCUAUAACACAGACUAAAAUGGCGUGUGGAGUCAGACAUAAAAAUUCUUUUUAUUACUUUUUAGUUCCUGUUAUACUUGCCUUGGUGCUUCUUUCAUCGACAGUGGUUAGCGGGAGCUUCUGUCAAACACGUUGCACGGGUGGAAGCAGGAAGAGCGAGCUAUGUUUCUACUGUCGAAGAAAUCCGGCUGGUAAAAGAUCAGGAAGCGGAGGUAGUACAAUAAAGGAAGAUGUAACUGUAAAUGAG